CGACGGGAGCUUGCUCCCUUAGGUCAGCGGCGGACGGGUGAGUAACACGUGGGUAACCUGCCUGUAAGACUGGGAUAACUCCGGGAAACCGGGGCUAAUACCGGAUGCUUGAUUGAACCGCAUGGUUCAAUCAUAAAAGGUGGCUUUCAGCUACCACUUGCAGAUGGACCCGCGGCGCAUUAGCUAGUUGGUGAGGUAACGGCUCACCAAGGCGACGAUGCGUAGCCGACCUGAGAGGGUGAUCGGCCACACUGGGACUGAGACACGGCCCAGACUCCUACGGGAGGCAGCAGUAGGGAAUCUUCCGCAAUGGACGAAAGUCUGACGGAGCAACGCCGCGUGAGUGAUGAAGGUUUUCGGAUCGUAAAACUCUGUUGUUAGGGAAGAACAAGUACCGUUCGAAUAGGGCGGUACCUUGACGGUACCUAACCAGAAAGCCACGGCUAACUACGUGCCAGCAGCCGCGGUAAUACGUAGGUGGCAAGCGUUGUCCGGAAUUAUUGGGCGUAAAGCGCGCGCAGGCGGUUUCUUAAGUCUGAUGUGAAAGCCCCCGGCUCAACCGGGGAGGGUCAUUGGAAACUGGGGAACUUGAGUGCAGAAGAGGAGAGUGGAAUUCCACGUGUAGCGGUGAAAUGCGUAGAGAUGUGGAGGAACACCAGUGGCGAAGGCGACUCUCUGGUCUGUAACUGACGCUGAGGCGCGAAAGCGUGGGGAGCGAACAAGAUUAGAUACCCUGGU
rnacentral:rRNA from 1 species